AUUGAACGCUGGCGGCAUGCCUUACACAUGCAAGUCGAACGGUAACAGGGUGCUUGCACCGCUGACGAGUGGCGAACGGGUGAGUAAUGCGUCGGAACGUGCCGAGUAGUGGGGGAUAACGCAUCGAAAGGUGUGCUAAUACCGCAUACGUACUGAGGUAGAAAGUGGGGGACCUUCUGGCCUCACGCUAUUCGAGCGGCCGACGUCUGAUUAGCUAGUUGGUGAGGUAAAGGCUCACCAAGGCGACGAUCAGUAGCGGGUCUGAGAGGAUGAUCCGCCACACUGGGACUGAGACACGGCCCAGACUCCUACGGGAGGCAGCAGUGGGGAAUUUUGGACAAUGGGCGCAAGCCUGAUCCAGCCAUGCCGCGUGUCUGAAGAAGGCCUUCGGGUUGUAAAGGACUUUUGUCCGGGAGCAAAUACCCAGUGCUAAUAACGCUGGGGGCUGAGAGUACCGGAAGAAUAAGCACCGGCUAACUACGUGCCAGCAGCCGCCGUAAAAC
rnacentral:rRNA from 1 species